rnacentral:tmRNA from 1 species
AAGCGACUGUCAUACAGAACAAGCUAGUCUGGCGGUAUGUUCAGGGCCAACAGGCAAAUCUCUUACUGGGCUCGUUUCUCAUCGCCCUGGCCAUUGGGCCGAGAGAAACUAAAUUAAUAGAUGGUGCUAAGCAUGUAGAGCCGAUGGCAGAGUACUGACGGACGCGGGUUCAACUCCCGCCGUCUCCACCA